UACGUAGGGGGCUAGCGUUGUCCGGAAUCAUUGGGCGUAAAGAGCGUGUAGGCGGCCCGGUAAGUCCGCUGUGAAAGUCGGGGGCUCAACCCUCGGAUGCCGGUGGAUACUGUCGGGCUUGAGUACGGAAGAGGCGAGUGGAAUUCCUGGUGUAGCGGUGAAAUGCGCAGAUAUCAGGAGGAACACCAAUUGCGAAGGCAGCCCGCUGGGACGUUACUGACGCUGAGACGCGAAAGCGUGGGGAGCAAACAGG
rnacentral:rRNA from 1 species